ACAGCAUCAAUGAUGUACACCUUCCUUUUGUUAUCCUUGCACUUUGAUUACCUGUGAAGAAACUUGUGGGGAAAUUUUAGUCUGAGAUGCUU
rnacentral:snoRNA from 1 species